rnacentral:rRNA from 1 species
UGCAGUCGACGAUGAGCCCAGCUUGCUGGGUGGAUUAGUGGCGAACGGGUGAGUAACACGUGAGUAACCUGCCCUUAACUCUGGGAUAAGCCUGGGAAACUGGGUCUAAUACCGGAUAGGAGCGUCCACCGCAUGGUGGGUGUUGGAAAGAUUUAUCGGUUUUGGAUGGACUCGCGGCCUAUCAGCUUGUUGGUGAGGUAAUGGCUCACCAAGGCGACGACGGGUAGCCGGCCUGAGAGGGUGACCGGCCACACUGGGACUGAGACACGGCCCAGACUCCUACGGGAGGCAGCAGUGGGGAAUAUUGCACAAUGGGCGAAAGCCUGAUGCAGCGACGCCGCGUGAGGGAUGACGGCCUUCGGGUUGUAAACCUCUUUCAGUAGGGAAGAAGCGAAAGUGACGGUACCUGCAGAAGAAGCACCGGCUAACUACGUGCCAGCAGCCGCGGUAAUACGUAGGGUGCGAGCGUUAUCCGGAAUUAUUGGGCGUAAAGAGCUCGUAGGCGGUUUGUCGCGUCUGUCGUGAAAGUCCGGGGCUUAACCCCGGAUCUGCGGUGGGUACGGGCAGACUAGAGUGCAGUAGGGGAGACUGGAAUUCCUGGUGUAGCGGUGGAAUGCGCAGAUAUCAGGAGGAACACCGAUGGCGAAGGCAGGUCUCUGGGCUGUAACUGACGCUGAGGAGCGAAAGCAUGGGGAGCGAACAGGAUUAGAUACCCUGGUAGUCCAUGCCGUAAACGUUGGGCACUAGGUGUGGGGACCAUUCCACGGUUUCCGCGCCGCAGCUAACGCAUUAAGUGCCCCGCCUGGGGAGUACGGCCGCAAGGCUAAAACUCAAAGGAAUUGACGGGGGCCCGCACAAGCGGCGGAGCAUGCGGAUUAAUUCGAUGCAACGCGAAGAACCUUACCAAGGCUUGACAUGUUCUCGAUCGCCGUAGAGAUACGGUUUCCCCUUUGGGGCGGGUUCACAGGUGGUGCAUGGUUGUCGUCAGCUCGUGUCGUGAGAUGUUGGGUUAAGUCCCGCAACGAGCGCAACCCUCGUUCCAUGUUGCCAGCACGUAAUGGUGGGGACUCAUGGGAGACUGCCGGGGUCAACUCCGAGGAAGGUGAGGACGACGUCAAAUCAUCAUGCCC